GUGGAGAAUAUUGCGCAAUGGGCGAAAGCCUGACGCAGCGACGCCGCGUGAGGGAUGAAGGUUUUCGGAUCGUAAACCUCUGUCAGAAGGGAAGAAACUACGUUGUGCUAAUCAGCAGCGUACUGACGGUACCUUCAAAGGAAGCACCGGCUAACUCCGUGCCAGCAGCCGCGGUAAUACGGAGGGUGCAAGCGUUAAUCGGAAUUACUGGGCGUAAAGCGCACGUAGGCUGUAGUGUAAGUCAGGGGUGAAAUCCCACGGCUCAACCGUGGAACUGCCUUUGAUACUGCACAACUUGAAUCCGGGAGAGGGUGGCGGAAUUCCAGGUGUAGGAGUGAAAUCCGUAGAUAUCUGGAGGAACAUCAGUGGCGAAGGCGGCCACCUGGACCGGUAUUGACGCUGAGGUGCGAAAGCGUGGGGAGCAAACAG
rnacentral:rRNA from 1 species